rnacentral:rRNA from 1 species
UACGGAGGGGGCUAGCGUUGUUCGGAAUUACUGGGCGUAAAGCGCGCGUAGGCGGAUCGCUAAGUCAGGGGUGAAAUCCCAGGGCUCAACCCUGGAACUGCCUUUGAUACUGACGGUCUGGAGAUCGGGAGAGGUUGGUGGAAUUCCGAGUGUAGAGGUGAAAUUCGUAGAUAUGGGGAGGAACACCAGUGGCGAAGGCGACUCACUGGCCCGAUACUGACGCUGAGGCGCGAAAGCCAGGGAGCAAAGCGGG